UACAUGUGGGGCAAGCGUUGUUCGGAAUUACUGGGCAUAAAGGGUGCGUAGGCGGCUUGUUAAGUCAGGGGUGAAAUCCCACGGCCCAACCGUGGAACUGCCUUUGAUACUGGCGAGCUUGAGUGCGUGAGGGGUAACCGGAACGAGUAGUGUAGCGGUGAAAUGCGUAGAUAUUACUCGGAAGGCCAAAGGCGAAGGCAGGUUACUGGUACGCAACGGACGCUGAGGCACGAAAGCGUGGGGAGCAAACCGG
rnacentral:rRNA from 1 species